UAACUCUCUUAGACUCUUCUCUACUCAUGAUCUUUGAAGACGUGACUGCAGAUUUGACUAAAAAGAAAAAGAUAGAAUCAAACCUUACUUCAUCCCUCCUGCAGUGACAGAGACGCACUUUCAUCAAGAAGAUAACAUUGUAUGAGAGAGAGAUAGUAAGAAAAUAAAAAAGAGAGGGAGGGAGAGAGAGAGAGAGAGAGAGUGAGAGACAAACAAGGGAAGCCAAAGAAGAAAAGCUUCCUCUGCCCCCUCAUAUCUCUCCAGGGAAUGAGAGAGUAUGGCAGAAAAUAGAGGGAUGGAGGGAGGGAAGACUGUUGAAUGUAGUUGAGCACCGCGAUCAGAGGUAAUAACAUCACAUUUUAAUUCUAAUCAAAGAGAUGUGGAUGUGAGAGAAGGGCUUUUCCAUUGGUUCUGCUUUUGAGACCAAAUACCAGCAGAGAAUGCUUCAAUUCGUAAAAAACUGAGAGAGGCAGAGAAGGAACGAGAGCGAGAGAACGCGGAGGAUAAAUGGAGCACCCAGCAGCCAAUGAGAGACUGAGAUGGGACCAACACUGACACCCAGAGCAAAGCAGACCAGAGAUUUCUGACAUGGUGUCGACCCAGAUUAAUUGGAGGAAAAAUGAGGGGAGAGAGGACAGACAAAGACAGACUUGCGCCGCUGCUUCAGAAAACACAGAAUGUAUACCGAGGACAUUCAUCCUCCCAUGUGCCCACAAGAUAUUUCUUAAGGUGUUCUACUGUAAAUAAGGUGUGUGGACCCAGUGUGCAGCACUAAUCUUAGAGACGGGGGAGGGGACGAUUCUCCACAUACAUACAAACCCCCUUCUGCCAAUCAGAGAGAAAGACAGAGAAGGAGAAGGAGAGAAAGUGAAGAAACAGAGGAGACGGCAGAGAGGCUGAAAAGAGGAAACAGCUCUAGCUGUUAUCUUAGGUGGACAGAGAGGAAGAAUUACACACAAACAAACUGUCCAGCCACACGUUACAAGACGC